rnacentral:rRNA from 1 species
AUACGUAUGGAGCAAGCGUUAUCCGGAUUUACUGGGUGUAAAGGGAGCGUAGACGGCAUAGCAAGUCUGAAGUGAAAUCCCAUGGCUUAACCAUGGAACUGCUUUGGAAACUGCCAGGCUAGAGUGCAGGAGAGGUAAGCGGAAUUCCUAGUGUAGCGGUGAAAUGCGUAGAUAUUAGGAGGAACACCAGUGGCGAAGGCGGCUUACUGGACUGUAACUGACGUUGAGGCUCGAAAGCGUGGGGAGCAAACAGGAUUAGAUACCCUGGUAGUCCACGCUGUAAACGAUGAUUACUAGGUGUUGGGGACCAAAGGUCCUCGGUGCCGCCGCAAACGCAUUAAGUAAUCCACCUGGGGAGUACGUUCGCAAGAAUGAAACUCAAAGGAAUUGACGGGG